GACGAGCGGCGGACGGGUGAGUAACGCGUAGGAAUCUACCUAGUAGAGGGGGACAACAUGUGGAAACGCAUGCUAAUACCGCAUACGCCCUAAGGGGGAAAGGAGGGGACUCUUCGGAGCCUUCCGCUAUUAGAUGAGCCUGCGUGAGAUUAGCUAGUUGGUAGGGUAAAGGCCUACCAAGGCGACGAUCUCUAACUGGUCUGAGAGGAUGACCAGUCACACUGGGACUGAGACACGGCCCAGACUCCUACGGGAGGCAGCAGUGGGGAAUAUUGGACAAUGGGCGCAAGCCUGAUCCAGCCAUGCCGCGUGUGUGAAGAAGGCCUUAGGGUUGUAAAGCACUUUCAGGGGUGAGGAAGGGUAGCUAGUUAAUACCUAGUUAUCUUGACGUUAGCCCCAGAAGAAGCACCGGCUAACUCUGUGCCAGCAGCCGCGGUAAUACAGAGGGUGCAAGCGUUAAUCGGAAUUACUGGGCGUAAAGCGCGCGUAGGUGGUUUGUUAAGUCGGAUGUGAAAUCCCAGGGCUCAACCUUGGAAUGGCACCCGAUACUGGCAGGCUAGAGUAUGGUAGAAGGGUGUGGAAUUUCCUGUGUAGCGGUGAAAUGCGUAGAUAUAGGAAGGAACUCAGUGGCGAAGGCGACCCCUGGGACUAAUACUGACCUGAGGUGCGAAAGCCGUGGGGAGCAAACAGGAUUAGAUACCCUGGUAGUCCACGCCGUAAACAAUUUCUAACUAGCCGUUGGGUUGUAAUGACUUAGUGGCCGCAACCUAAGCAAUAAGUAGACCGCCUGGGGAGUCCGCCCGCAAGGUUAAAACUCAAAUGAAUUGACGGGGGCCCGCACAAGCGGUGAGCAUGUGGUUUAAUUCGACGCAACGCGAAGAACCUUACCUACUCUUGACAUCCACAGAAUCCGGCAGAGAUGCUGGAGUGCCUUCGGGAACUGUGAGACAGGUGCUGCAUGGCUGUCGUCAGCUCGUGUUGUGAAAUGUUGGGUUAAGUCCCGUAACGAGCGCAACCCUUAUCCUUACUUGCUAGCGGGUAAUGCCGAGAACUUUAAGGAGACUGCCGGUGACAAACCGGAGGAAGGUGGGGACGACGUCAAGUCAUCAUGGCCCUUACGAGUAGGGCUACACACGUGCUACAAUGGCGUAUACAGAGGGCUGCGAGCUAGCGAUAGUGAGCGAAUCCCAGAAAGUACGUCGUAGUCCGGAUUGGAGUCUGCAACUCGACUCCAUGAAGUCGGAAUCGCUAGUAAUCGUGAAUCAGAAUGUCACGGUGAAUACGUUCCCGGGCCUUGUACACACAGCCCGUCACACCAUGGGAGUUGAUUGCUCCAGAAG
rnacentral:rRNA from 1 species